GUAAAAAGUAGAAUAAUAGAUUUGAAAUAUUUAUUAUAUAGAUUUAAAGAGAUAAUCAUGGAGUAUAAUAAUUAAAUUUAAUAAAUUUAAUAUAACUAUUAAUAGAAUUAGGUUACUAAUAAAUUAAUAACAAUUAAUUUUAAAACCUAAAGGUAAACCUUUAUAUUAAUAAUGUUUUUUUUUUAUUAUUUUUUAUAAUAAGAAUAAUUAUUAAUAAUAAUAAACUAAGUGAACUGAAACAUCUAAGUAACUUAAGGAUAAGAAAUCAACAGAGAUAUUAUGAGUAUUGGUGAGAGAAAAUAAUAAAGGUCUAAUAAGUAUUAUGUGAAAAAAAUGUAAGAAAAUAGGAUAACAAAUUCUAAGACUAAAUACUAUUAAUAAGUAUAGUAAGUACCGUAAGGGAAAGUAUGAAAAUGAUUAUUUUAUAAGCAAUCAUGAAUAUAUUAUAUUAUAUUAAUGAUGUACCUUUUGUAUAAUGGGUCAGCAAGUAAUUAAUAUUAGUAAAACAAUAAGUUAUAAAUAAAUAGAAUAAUAUAUAUAUAUAUAAAAAUAUAUUAAAAUAUUUAAUUAAUAUUAAUUGACCCGAAAGCAAACGAUCUAACUAUGAUAAGAUGGAUAAACGAUCGAACAGGUUGAUGUUGCAAUAUCAUCUGAUUAAUUGUGGUUAGUAGUGAAAGACAAAUCUGGUUUGCAGAUAGCUGGUUUUCUAUGAAAUAUAUGUAAGUAUAGCCUUUAUAAAUAAUAAUUAUUAUAUAAUAUUAUAUUAAUAUUAUAUAAAGAAUGGUACAGCAAUUAAUAUAUAUUAGGGAACUAUUAAAGUUUUAUUAAUAAUAUUAAAUCUCGAAAUAUUUAAUUAUAUAUAAUAAAGAGUCAGAUUAUGUGCGAUAAGGUAAAUAAUCUAAAGGGAAACAGCCCAGAUUAAGAUAUAAAGUUCCUAAUAAAUAAUAAGUGAAAUAAAUAUUAAAAUAUUAUAAUAUAAUCAGUUAAUGGGUUUGACAAUAACCAUUUUUUAAUGAACAUGUAACAAUGCACUGAUUUAUAAUAAAUAAAAAAAAAUAAUAUUUAAAAUCAAAUAUAUAUAUAUUUGUUAAUAGAUAAUAUACGGAUCUUAAUAAUAAGAAUUAUUUAAUUCCUAAUAUGGAAUAUUAUAUUUUUAUAAUAAAAAUAUAAAUACUGAAUAUCUAAAUAUUAUUAUUACUUUUUUUUUUAAUAAUAAUAAUAUGGUAAUAGAACAUUUAAUGAUAAUAUAUAUUAGUUAUUAAUUAAUAUAUGUAUUAAUUAAAUAGAGAAUGCUGACAUGAGUAACGAAAAAAAGGUAUAAACCUUUUCACCUAAAACAUAAGGUUUAACUAUAAAAGUACGGCCCCUAAUUAAAUUAAUAAGAAUAUAAAUAUAUUUAAGAUGGGAUAAUCUAUAUUAAUAAAAAUUUAUCUUAAAAUAUAUAUAUUAUUAAUAAUUAUAUUAAUAAUAUAUAUAAUUAUAUUAUAUAUUUUUUUUAUAUAAUAUAAACUAAUAAAGAUCAGGAAAUAAUUAAUGUAUACCGUAAUGUAGACCGACUCAGGUAUGUAAGUAGAGAAUAUGAAGGUGAAUUAGAUAAUUAAAGGGAAGGAACUCGGCAAAGAUAGCUCAUAAGUUAGUCAAUAAAGAGUAAUAAGAACAAAGUUGUACAACUGUUUACUAAAAACACCGCACUUUGCAGAAACGAUAAGUUUAAGUAUAAGGUGUGAACUCUGCUCCAUGCUUAAUAUAUAAAUAAAAUUAUUUAACGAUAAUUUAAUUAAAUUUAGGUAAAUAGCAGCCUUAUUAUGAGGGUUAUAAUGUAGCGAAAUUCCUUGGCCUAUAAUUGAGGUCCCGCAUGAAUGACGUAAUGAUACAACAACUGUCUCCCCUUUAAGCUAAGUGAAAUUGAAAUCGUAGUGAAGAUGCUAUGUACCUUCAGCAAGACGGAAAGACCCUAUGCAGCUUUACUGUAAUUAGAUAGAUCGAAUUAUUGUUUAUUAUAUUCAGCAUAUUAAGUAAUCCUAUUAUUAGGUAAUCGUUUAGAUAUUAAUGAGAUACUUAUUAUAAUAUAAUGAUAAUUCUAAUCUUAUAAAUAAUUAUUAUUAUUAUUAUUAAUAAUAAUAAUAUGCUUUCAAGCAUAGUGAUAAAACAUAUUUAUAUGAUAAUCACUUUACUUAAUAGAUAUAAUUCUUAAGUAAUAUAUAAUAUAUAUUUUAUAUAUAUUAUAUAUAAUAUAAGAGACAAUCUCUAAUUGGUAGUUUUGAUGGGGCGUCAUUAUCAGCAAAAGUAUCUGAAUAAGUCCAUAAAUAAAUAUAUAAAAUUAUUGAAUAAAAAAAAAAUAAUAUAUAUUAUAUAUAUUAAUUAUAAAUUGAAAUAUGUUUAUAUAAAUUUAUAUUUAUUGAAUAUAUUUUAGUAAUAGAUAAAAAUAUGUACAGUAAAAUUGUAAGGAAAACAAUAAUAACUUUCUCCUCUCUCGGUGGGGGUUCACACCUAUUUUUAAUAGGUGUUCACUCCUCUUCGGGGUUCCGGUUCCCUUUCGGGUCCCGGAACUUAAAUAAAAAUAAUUAUGGAAAGAAUUAAAUUAAUAUAAUGGUAUAACUGUGCGAUAAUUGUAACACAAACGAGUGAAACAAGUACGUAAGUAUGGCAUAAUGAACAAAUAACACUGAUUGUAAAGGUUAUUGAUAACGAAUAAAAGUUACGCUAGGGAUAACAGGGUAAUAUAACGAAAGAGUAGAUAUUGUAAGUUAUGUUUGCCACCUCGAUGUCGACUCAACAUUUCCUCUUGGUUGUAAAAGCUAAGAAGGGUUUGACUGUUCGUCAAUUAAAAUGUUACGUGAGUUGGGUUAAAUACGAUGUGAAUCAGUAUGGUUCCUAUCUGCUGAAGGAAAUAUUAUCAAAUUAAAUCUCAUUAUUAGUACGCAAGGACCAUAAUGAAUCAACCCAUGGUGUAUCUAUUGAUAAUAAUAUAAUAUAUUUAAUAAAAAUAAUACUUUAUUAAUAUAUUAUCUAUAUUAGUUUAUAUUUUAAUUAUAUAUUAUCAUAGUAGAUAAGCUAAGUUGAUAAUAAAUAAAUAUUGAAUACAUAUUAAAUAUGAAGUUGUUUUAAUAAGAUAAUUAAUCUGAUAAUUUUAUACUAAAAUUAAUAAUUAUAGGUUUUAUAUAUUAUUUAUAAAUAAAUAUAUUAUAAUAAUAAUAAUUAUUAUUAUUAAUAAAAAAUAUUAAUUAUAAUAUUAAUAAAAUACUAAUUUAUCAGUUAUCUAUAUAAUAUCUAAUCUAUUAUUCUAUAUACU
rnacentral:rRNA from 2 species